rnacentral:rRNA from 1 species
AACGAACGCUGGCGGCAGGCUUAACACAUGCAAGUCGAACGCAUCCUUCGGGGUGAGUGGCAGACGGGUGAGUAACGCGUGGGAACGUGCCCUUCAGUUCGGGAUAACCCAGGGAAACUUGGGCUAAUACCGGAUACGUGCGAGAGCAGAAAGAUUUAUCGCUGAGAGGAUCGGCCCGCGUCUGAUUAGCUAGUUGGUGGGGUAAUGGCCCACCAAGGCGACGAUCAGUAGCUGGUCUGAGAGGAUGAUCAGCCACAUUGGGACUGAGACACGGCCCAAACUCCUACGCGAGGCAGCAGUGGGGAAGAUUAGACAAUGGGCGCAAGCCUGAUCCAGCCAUGCGGCGUGAGUGAUGAAGGCCUUAGGGUUGUAAAGCUCUUUCGUCCGGGACGAUAAUGACGGUACCGGAAGAAGAAGCCCCGGCUAACUUGGUGCCAGCAGCCGCAGUAA